rnacentral:rRNA from 1 species
UACGUAGGGUGCAGGCGUUAUUCGGAAUUACUGGGCGUAAAGCGUGCGCAGGCGGUUUCUUAAGUCAGAUGUGAAAGCCCCGGGCUUAACCUGGGAACUGCGUUUGAAACUGGGAGACUUGAGUGUGGCAGAGGGAGGUGGAAUUCCACGUGUAGCAGUGAAAUGCGUAGAGAUGUGGAGGAACACCGAUGGCGAAGGCAGCCCCCUGGGCUGAGAUUGACGCUCAGGCACGAAAGCGUGGGGAGCAAACAGG